rnacentral:rRNA from 1 species
ACGCACGCUGGCGGCAUGCCUAACACCUGCAAGUCGCACGAGACCUUCGGGUCUAGUGGCGCACGGGUGCGUAACGCGUGGGAACCUGCCCUUAGGUUCGGAAUAACUCCCCGAAAGGGGUGCUAAUACCGGAUAAUGUCUUCGGACCAAAGAUUUAUCGCCUUUGGAUGGGCCCGCGUUGGAUUAGCUAGUUGGUAGGGUAAAAGCCUACCAAGGCGACGAUCCAUAGCUGGUCUGAGAGGAUGAUCAGCCACACUGGGACUGAGACACAGCCCAGACUCCUACGGGAGGCAGCAGUGGGGAAUAUUGGACAAUGGGCGAAAGCCUGAUCCAGCAAUGCCGCGUGAGUGAUGAAGGCCUUAGGGUUGUAAAGCUCUUUUACCCGGGAUGAUAAUGACAGUACCGGGAGAAUAAGCUCCGGCUAACUCCGUG